GCCGACCAACUGGCGGCACACAGAAGGCAAAAUACAACAUGGCGGAGAGAGAGACGGCAGAGAAGCCUCGUGACGUGUUGCCGUUGCUACAUAAUUAGCGCGCGAAAAUAGAUUUUUGCGAAACGAGCCGAGCUCCGCUCUGAUACCGCCACUAGCGUAGAAUUGAAGAAAAAUCGUAAGACAGUGAUUAGUGGAAUUUAACUCCCGAGGAUUGCACUGCGAAUCGCGGCAAUCAAAGCACAACAAGGUUGUAUAAUAUUUUAACAGUUAAUAUAAAUGCUUAUAUGUACUUAUCAUCGCUCCCCUACGUGCAGGCGGUGCGUAUAAAGCAAUAAAGACACAAUUGUGCAAA